AAGGAGGAAUUCUACACUGUCACACUUGCACCACGUCAUCAAUAAUAAGCCAAUCACAUUCAUUUUUUUCAAAUAAAAGUAUAAUAAAAAUAUUUUUUUACAAUCAUGACAUAUAUUCUUAAAAGAAUUAAUUUGAUUGAUUUGUUACGCCACGUCACUAAUAUACCCGUUGCAUUCUAAAAUUUUUCCUGCCGAAGGGGCUUUCUACGAUAGAA
rnacentral:lncRNA from 1 species